rnacentral:lncRNA from 1 species
AAGGAGGAGGAGCUGGCGGUGUCGGAGAGCACCAGGGAGACGUUGACCGAGGUGGGUUUACCCGAGGACUUGUCCACCGAUUUUUGGGCCACUUGCAAGGGCAACCUCUCGUGGCCCACCAAGCAGGUGAAGUAAGAGCGCGCCAGUUGCGAUUCGGCCACGGGGGGCAUGGUGACGUAGCUGGAGGCCGGCAAGGGCUCGCCGUUGCGGAGCCAACGGAUGAAGAGGUCCGGGGGGUUGAAACCCUUGGCCAAGCAGGUGACGGUGGCGGUCUCGUGGGCGUUGAGCUGCUCCGGAGGAGGGGGGAAGACGUAGAGGGCGGGGGGCUUGGCGUCGCGCUCUGCAAGGGAGAGGGCAGUAGGUUGAGGUCAAAGCGCUUUUUAUUCCAUUUUUUACUUAUUUUUCCCAAUCUGAGGUGGGAUCGCAAAGCCUUUUCCUCGUUUUUCUAAAUUUUUGGUACAAUUUCUAUGCCCUUUUCUUCGUUUUUGCAAAUUGGAGAUGCGAUUGCAACGCCUUUUAUUUCUUUUUUUCCAAAUUUGUGAUGUAAUUUCAAUGCUUUUCCUUUGUUUUUUACUA